AACGAACGCUGGCGGCAUGCCUAACACAUGCAAGUCGAACGAGACCUUCGGGUCUAGUGGCGCACGGGUGCGUAACGCGUGGGAACCUGCCCUUAGGUUCGGAAUAACUCCCCGAAAGGGGUGCUAAUACCGGAUAAUGUCUUCGGACCAAAGAUUUAUCGCCUUUGGAUGGGCCCGCGUUGGAUUAGCUAGUUGGUAGGGUAAAAGCCUACCAAGGCGACGAUCCAUAGCUGGUCUGAGAGGAUGAUCAGCCACACUGGGACUGAGACACGGCCCAGACUCCGACGGGAGGCAGCAGUGGGGAAUAUUGGACAAUGGGCGAAAGCCUGAUCCAGCAAUGCCGCGUGAGUGAUGAAGGCCGUAGGGUUGUAAAGCUCUUUUACCCGGGAUGAUAAUGACAGUACCGGGAGAAUAAGCUCCGGCUAACUCCGUG
rnacentral:rRNA from 1 species